rnacentral:lncRNA from 1 species
CCCCCAAUCAUAGCUGUGACAGGUUUCAAAAAUGAGCAGUGGAAGCCCUCUCCAUAAGUGGAUUUUUAAAAAAUUCCUCCUAUUAAUAUGAGUAACAUCUGUCUUUAGUAUGAUAAAGCUCUGAGUUUGCCCAACGUUGGCUUGCUUCCAAGAUAAAAAGAUGAACAACAGAUCAAGCAUGCAUAAUAUACCAUUGCAGGAAUAAUUGCGAGAGG